rnacentral:rRNA from 1 species
GACGAACGCUGGCGGCGUGCUUAACACAUGCAAGUCGAGCGGAAAGGCCCUUUCGGGGGUACUCGAGCGGCGAACGGGUGAGUAACACGUGAGUAACCUGCCUUCAGCCUCGGGAUAACCCCGAGAAAUCGGGGCUAAUACCGGGUAUUCACAGCGUCCCGCAUGGGGCUGUUGUGGAAAGGGUGUUACCGGCUGGGGAUGGGCUCGCGGCCUAUCAGCUUGUUGGUGGGGUAGUGGCCUACCAAGGCGACGACGGGUAGCCGGCCUGUGAGGGCGACCGGCCACACUGGGACUGAGACACGGCCCAGACUCCUACGGGAGGCAGCAGUGGGGAAUAUUGCGCAAUGGGCGGAAGCCUGACGCAGCGACGCCGCGUGGGGGAUGACGGCCUUCGGGUUGUAAACCUCUUUCAGCAGGGACGAAGGGUGACUGACGGUACCUGCAGAAGAAGCUCCGGCUAACUACGUGCCAGCCGCCGCGGUAA